rnacentral:pre_miRNA from 1 species
CUUAAAUGCAUCAUUGAGUGCAGCGUUGAUGAGCAUUAAAGAACGGCGGCUAUGGCGACCGCCGCCGCAGUUUCUGUUUUCUCCGGCGGCUCAUUGACGCUGCACUCAAUCAUGCUUUUG